CAAAGUUGGCUUAUAUCCCAUUCCAUGUUUUGCAGCUGGUAGAACUGCAUUUGAUAAUUUGAACUUUUUUUAUUUUUUAAGUUUAUAGAGUAUUCCUUUAAGUUAAUGUUUAGUAAUAUGAUUUUGCAAAAUCCAUGGAAUAGAAUCCCAGUUCUUUGUUAUGUCUUUUGUAAUUUGAAUCCCAUUGGUUUUAAUCUUACACCAUAACUUGUUAUGACCACAGUACCCUGAUGAUCAUAAUAAUCUCACCAUUGAUCAUUCUAUUUUUUCAGCCUUUGAUUCGUUUGUAAAUUUGCCAGAUGGCUUACCAGUGUUAACUUUGCUUAUUAUCAUUAUAAUAUUCUCAUUUAUUUGUGUGUUUGUGUACACUAAUACAG
rnacentral:misc_RNA from 1 species